rnacentral:lncRNA from 1 species
UUACCGAUUUGAACUGGUGACAUGAGGAUUUUGAGUCCUCUGCUCUACCAACUGAGUUAUCUCGGCCAUUACCGAAGUAUCAUCCUCAUUUUACUAGAUGACUUAGGUCUAUGUCAAUUAAAAGACACGCAAAAGUAGUAAAUGAAAAAAGUUUUGGACCGGGAAUUUCUUGGAUCUUCGAAAAGAAGAUUUUAUCAGUUUAAAACUGAAAAAUGAUAUCGAUUAUAAAUAAUUCAAAUUGAUAUUUCUUUCUCAUUUGUACGUGUAUGAUAUAUCCCACAAGACUUGUAUAUAAUAAGAAAAGAAAUUAUAGUUUGUAAAAGCGUAGGAUGAAUGACAAAAGAUAAUGAAUUCUUGAAUAACUAAAAAAGGGUAAGGUGUCAAACAGACUUUUUGGGGGAGUAGAGUUGGGGAUACAGGGACUUGAACCCUCACGAUUUUAAAAGUCAACGGAUUUUCAUCUUACUAUAAAUUUCAUUGUUGUCAGUAUUGACAUGUAGAAUGGGACUCUAUCUUUAUUCUCGUCCGAUUAAUAAGUUCCACCGAGGAUCUAUCAGACUAUGAAGUGAAUCAUUUGAUCAACACAAAGUAGUAAACUCCAUUUUUUAGAACAGCUUCCAUUGAGUCUCUGCACCUAUCCCUUUUUUUCUCGCUUUCUAAACUCUGGUUUGUUCACGUAAACUAGGAUUUGGCUCAGGAUUGCCCAUUGUUAAUUCCAGGGUUUCUCUGAAUUUGAAAGUUAUCACUUAGUAGGUUUCCAUACCAAGGCUCAAUCCAAUUAAGUCCGCAGCAUCUACCAAUUCCGCCAUAUCCCCUUUUUUGAUCUCAUUAUGAUGUCUUUCCACUUUUCUUAUGCCGAAACCUUGGAAUUCAUUACAUAUGUCAUAUAGAUACUUAUUUUAUUUUUUUUUAUAUCUUCUUUCAUUUUUUGAGCCCCAUCCAUAUUGAUUUAGUCUAAUCAAAAAAGAUUCUAUCAUUUUUGUAUUUGCAAUUCAAUAUGGUUAUAUAUUACAUAACAUAUAUAUGUUCUUCCUUUUCUCAUCUUUGUCUUAAAUUUGAAGAAAUAGUCGAACGGUCCAUUCUUUUUUUUUUACUUCCCAUGAAAACAAAUUUAUGAUUAUUAUUGAAACUUCGAAUUCUACUGUGUCGAUUUAAAAUUCGAAUAAUUCUAAAAGAUUCUAUUCGAAUAUUCAUUUCGAAUAUUAAUUCUAAUAAUUCUAUACUAUUAGAAAUAUAAUAAAAAGACAAAAAGUGCUAAAAUAAUAAUAAUAGCAUGAGGUUAGAACAAAAAAACAAGAAUUUCAAAUCAGAUAUAAUUUAACUUAAAAAAAUAAGAUUUCUGAUCUAAUUAAGAUUUUCUUAGUUUGAUUUCGAAACUAAUGAAAAAUUAGAAAGUUGAUCUAUUGCUAUAUUCUAUAUAAUUAAUAAUUAAUUAAUUAAGGUUAUGUUUUAUUUAUUUAAUAAUAGUCAUUAUUUAUUUGAGCUAUAUUCUGUUCUAGAAUAUUAUUAAUUCUAAAUAGAUAAGGAAAAAUAUGAAUAGAAUAGUUAAUUGAUAUGAUCUAGUAGUUUAGUGAAUUUCUAUGUAUGCGCUAUUUUAUUUGAGCCCGCUUAGCUCAGAGGUUAGAGCAUCGCAUUUGUAAUGCGAUGGUCAUCGGUUCGAUUUCGAUAUCCGGCUUUUACAUAUUUUGUCGUUUUUUUACAUGAUUUUUAAUGUACUUUAAAAAUCAAAGAAGAUUGAAAAGACUUCUUUCACCUUUUUCCAAGAGUUACCACGCCAUCUAUAUUAUAUCAUAUAAACUUCCAUAUAGGAAUAUAUAUUGGGAUAAAAGGGUUAGAUCUUUGCAAAAUAAAUCAAGAAAAUAAAGGAAAAUUUUUGUGAUUUAGUUGAUUUAUAUAUAUUGUAUAUACAAUAAAAAAAAUCUGUAUAUUGAGAGAAUAUAUCUUCUGACUCUUUGUAUUCCAAUAGUUUAUUGGAGUGGAUUUCACGUCAUUUAUCAUUAUCAUUUAGUUCAGUUUUAAUUUUGUUUAGUUUUGUUACAAUUUCAAUAAAAAAGGAGUCUUUAUGUCACGUUACCGAGGGCCUCGUUUUAAAAAAAUACAUCGUCUGGGGGCUUUACCGGGACUAACUAGUAAAAUACCUAGGGCAGGAAGCGAUCUUAGAAACCAAUCACGCUCCGGAAAAAAAUCGCAAUAUCGUAUUCGUUUAGAAGAAAAACAGAACGCCAAUUACUUAAAUAUGUUCGUAUCGCCGGAAAAGCCAAGGGGUCAAUGGGUCAAGUUUUAUUACAAUUACUUGAAAUGCGUUUGGAUAACAUCCUUUUUCGAUUGGGUAUGGCUUUGACUAUUCCUCAAGCGCGCCAAUUAGUUAACCAUGGACAUAUUUUAGUUAAUGGUCGUAUAGUUGAUAUACUAAGUUAUCGCCGCAAACCCCGAGAUAUUAUUACAGUGAAGGAUGAACAAAACUCUAGAACUUUGGUUCAAAAUCUUCUUGAUUCAUCUGCCCCCGAGGAAUUGCCAAACCAUCUGACUCUUCACACAUUCCAAUAUGAAGGGUUAGUCAAUCAAAUCAUAGAUAGGAAAUGCGUCGGUUUGAAAAUAAAUGAAUUACUUGUCGUAGAAUAUUACUCUCGACAGACUUAAUAAACCUAACUUAAGUAAAAAAAAUUACUAAAAACAAGAGUUCGGACAACUCCCCUUAGCCCUCUUUUUUGAUAAAAAAAAGGUACGAAUGUAAGGGAUUUUGUCGGGGAAUCUUUUUCCUAUUCAUGUAUCAUAGAUUGAUAGGGAGGUUUGGAUCCCUUGGUUUCUCUUCCCAUCAUUUUCCAUGCUAAAAUUUUUAGACCUACAUACAUACUUUAUUUACUCUUUUGUAUCGAACGAAAAGCUAAUACUUCAAGAUUCUUCUGAGUCUAAUUCACUGAAAUUCCAUCCAGUAGAACAGAAGAAUUAUAAAUCUCCAAAAUAAUGGAUAGGAAUAUAACUAGGAAAGAGUGCCUAAUCUCGCGAAUUACUUCUGAAUAAAAAAUUCACUAAAAAAAUCAUAUUUUAGAACCAUAGCAUUUCGUUAUUCUUUGGUAAGUCUACUUUACUUUGAUUCUCUAUCAACCAAAAAUUUGGGACCAUUAAUUAACAUGGUUAAAGCUAACCCGUUUGAAGUUCAUCAAAAGGUGCCUGUACGGCUCCUAAGGGAUACGAUUGAGAAAUAGGAAUCCGUGUUAUCAAAAGAUUUCCUGCGAAUUCUUUCUAGUUUUUUAAUUUGUUUUUGAGUCAAUUUUCUCAGUUUUUAUUGGCUCAAGGCUCUUAAUUUUUUGGUUUCGGAACAGAUUUAUCUAAUUAUUAUGACUGAAUCUGUAUUGAUGCUUUAUUACAUUGUUUUUCUUACAGUGACCUCAUAGACUUUCCAAAUUGGAAUAAUAUAUCAUUAAUAUUCAAUUUUUUCUCUCUUUCUUUCAUCCUUCCAUUUAUCCGCAUACUUUUCGAUUACCUUUUAUAACUUAGUAAUCAUCUGUCUUUAUUAUUUUUGCCCGAUCUAUCUAUAAGGCUCAGAAAGGGUCCGGUUGGAGGAAAGAAAGCUACAGCGCUAAGACGCAACUUCUACUAGUGUGCUCCUCUUGCUUUUAGGAAUAAAGAAGCAUCAGAUUCCAGUCUCGUAGUCAAUGAACUAUCUAAUCUAUAAGUUAAUGAUCUAUAUUAAGAAGAAAGAGCCUUUCACCUCGAGGUUCUGGAUUCUCCAAAUUCUUCUUGUUCUACUCCAGCACACUAAACCCGCAGAUACCAAUUCGUAUCUGCAAGAACACUACCGACUUCGUCAAGCCACUUACUGUCUAAAAAUGAUGACUCUUUUCCGUAUAGCGUCCUUUUCUCAAAUCGUUCUAUUUCAUCUGGUAUUCUCUAGGGGUAACUCUAUAUCAAAGAAAUGUAGAUUUUAUAUCUAUUCUUUUUUUUAUUUGAUAAAUUGUGGUUAAUCACAUAAGAUUGGUGAAUUAGUUGAAAGUACGGAAAGAGAGGGAUUCGAACCCUCGGUAAACUAAAGUCUACAUAACAGUUCCAAUGUUACGCCUUCAACCACUCGGCCAUCUCUCCGACAUCAGGGUUAUGACUGAGUACCUGGGUGAAUAGCGAGUUAUUCAUCGUUUUUUAGAUUAUGGUUAAUAGAAACCUUUUUUGACCGGAAAAAAUUGGAAGUAGAUAGAAUGUUUUUUUAUUUUAACGAUUCCGCUUUUAUGUUAGUUCGUACUAUAAAAUUCCUUUGUUUGUGAGACAAUUUUCUCACAAAAGAAAAGGUAAAGGAAAUAAAAAGAGUUAUAGAAUGGAUUACUACCUAUGCCAAGAUCGCGUAUAAAUGAAAAUUUUAUUGAUAAAACCUUUACAAUUGUAGCCGAUAUCUUAUUACGAGUCAUUCCGACAACUUCCGGAGAAAAAGGAGGCAUUUACUUAUUACAGAGAUGGUGCGAUUUGAUUAUUAUUAUUUUUUUUUAUUUCUCGCCGAUUUGGAAUAGAAAGAAAAACGACUAUUGAAAAAAAUCUACGCUUUUGAAGGUGAAGUUUAUAAUAUAAAAAAAAGCAAUCCCUUCUGUCAUGUAUCAACGAUUAAUGCAGCCUUAGAUGCUUCAAUUGUGAAUUCUAGUAUUGAGCAAAAGGUUUUUACCUAUGGUUCCCGUAUUACAGAUCAAACUAAUACACUCUACGAAUAGGAGGCACAGGGGAAGAAGCACUACGCCGAGAAAUCAACAACAUGAAAACUUUCUUCAAAAUGAUUCCUUUUCUUUCUUCUUCUUCUUUGGGAUUGGGACUAAUUAAAAUGGUUGGAACAAUAAACAUCCAUCUUGUUCUUACUUUGGAUACCCGUAUAACCAUUGAAGACUGUUGAAGUGACUAAUUCCUGGAAAUUUAAGGGCGUUGAGAACAAAGAAAUUUUUAGAGUUUCCUUUUUUAUUUUUAUCUAGCAUGAACCCACUUGGUAGUAAGAAAAGAUCUUUUGCAAGAAGGUUGGCUAGGGAUUUCUUGUAAAAACAUUAGCCCCGCUUAGGUCAUAAUGACAUCAAAUUUUUCCAUAUAUUUAUUAUUUUGAUUAUGUACCUAAAGGAGGAGCCGUAUGAGAUGAAAAUCUCACAUACGGUUCUGAAACGGAGAAUUCGGUAAAGCGAAUGACGACCGUAACGGAUGUCGGCUCAAUCUGAAGGAAAUUAUGCGGAAGCAUUACAGAAUUAUUAUGAAGCUAUGCGACUAGAAAUUGACCCCUAUGAUCGAAGUUAUAUACUCUAUAAUAUAGGCCUUAUCCACACAAGUAAUGGGGAACAUACCAAAGCUUUAGAAUAUUAUUUUCGGGCAUUAGAACGAAACCCCUUUUUACCACAAGCUUUUAAUAAUAUGGCUGUGAUCUGUCAUUACGUGCGGCUAUCUCCACUAUAGAAAAAAAAGAACGAAUAGCUAGUCAAUUAAAUACUAGAAACACAAAAAAGGGCUUUCUACAUAAGCAUCGUCCAAAACGAUUUUUUAUCAGCUGUAGCAAAUAAAUAAACUUCAUAGAUCGAAAUAUGAAGUGAAGACUAGAUAUGCCUAAAUACUUUCUUCUAUGGAUAAAAAAAGAUUUAAUUGAUAGAGGAAGCACCGUAAAGAUCAAUUGGAAAGGUUUUGUACCGAUACAACAAAAGCUGCUUAUUUAUAUCAUAAUAUGAGAUAAAUCUUAGGAAUCUACUUAUGUAAUAGAGUUUAUCCCCUAAGGUAUUGAGCAGCGGUGUAGCAUCAGAUCCUAAAGACAGUAAGUCUUUUUCUUUUUAUGAAAUAUGAAAAAAGUCUUUUUCAAAGAUUCUAUAUAUAUUUUUAUAUGAAAGCGGGAUAGUUACCUUUCAGAAAAUUCUAAUAUCUAAUAACAGUGGCCAUGCCUUUUUUCUGAAGGUAGGAGAAAAGAUAAAACUUAUUCUAUAUAAUUAAUAAUUAAAUCAAAAUGAAAGUUUGAAACUCAUGUAAUUACUCUCUUUUGUUUAAUUCAAGAAAAACCGAAUAUCUAUAAGAAAUCUCGUUCAAUUAGAUUUUUAAUUAGAUAUAUAGUUAAAGUUGGUUAAAGUGAAAAAACUGGUACACCAAAACAAAAGAGUUGGUUGUCGAGCCGUAUGAGGUAGGAAACUCUCAAGUACGGUUCUCAGGGAGGGACCCGCCUAUUCCGACCGUGGAGAACAGGCCAUUCAACAAGGAGAUUCUGAAAUGGCGGAGGCUUGGUUCGCUCAAGCCGCUGAGUAUUGGAAACAGGCUAUAACGCUUACUCCUGGUAAUUAUAUUGAAGCACAGAAUUGGUUGACGAUCACGAGGCGCUUCGAAUAAGAACUUUUCCUUUGUUUCUUAUUUUUUUUAUUCUAUAUAUAUCUUUAUUUGUUUUUACAAUUAAUCGGGUUUUAGUUUUUUGGCCCUCUCGGUCAAAUAAAACGGAUCCUUUUUUUAUCAAAAGAACCAAUCAAAGAACAAAAUUUUCAUUAUAUCCUUUUCUCAAAUCGUUCUAUUUCAUCUGGUAUUCUCUAGGGGUAACUCUAGGGGUAAGUAGUACAUGAAUAUGAGAAUAUAUAUAUAUAUAUAUAUAUAUAUAUAUAUCUAUUUUUUCUUUUCGACUAUUAAAACCAAUAAAAGAGAUUUGAAAAUGCCUAAAUAUCAAUACUAGACUGUUUCUUAGUAAUGACUAAUAAGCAUUUAUUGAAAUAGAAUAAUAUCCUCUAUUUAAAACAUAAAAAAUAGGCUACAUUUUGGAACUUAUAAUUGAAAUAUGAAUACACUAGAUUAGGUUAUAAAAAAACUCUUUGGAUAUUAAUGUAAUGUGCGAAAACUAAAAAAAAAAAAAGGUCCAUUGAGCACCCUAUGGGUAUGUCAUAAUAGAUCCGAACACUUGCCCCAGAUCGACAUCCAGAUCAUAAUUGCUCUAGUGAAUAACUAAAGAAAAUAGAUGAAUAGAUGGGAGAUAGAAGAGAAAGCAAAAAAUUCUAAGCAUCUAUCAUCGGUUCACUAAUUACUUGAGUGACUGUUGGCGGGUUUCUUUGUAUGUGUUGUCCGAAAAGAGGAGGACUCAAUGAUUAUUCGUUCGCCGGAACCAGAAGUCAAAUUUUUGGUAGAUAGGGAUCCCAUAAAAACUUCUUUCGAGGAAUGGGCUAAACCCGGUCAUUUCUCAAGAACAAUAGCUAAGGGACCUGAUACUACCACUUGGAUCUGGAACCUACAUGCUGAUUCUCACGAUUUUGAUAGUCAUACCAGUGAUUUAGAGGAAAUUUCUCGAAAAGUAUUUAGUGCCCAUUUUGGCCAACUCUCUAUCAUCUUUCUUUGGCUGAGUGGCAUGUAUUUCCACGGUGCUCGUUUUUCCAAUUAUGAAGCAUGGCUGAGUGAUCUUACUCACAUUGGACCUAGUGCUCAGGUGGUUUGGCCAAUAGUGGGCCAAGAAAUCCUGAAUGGAGAUGUGGGCGGAGGCUUCCGAGGAAUACAAAUAACCUCUGGCUUUUUUCAGAUUUGGCGAGCAUCUGG